rnacentral:lncRNA from 1 species
CAUGAGAAUACAAGCAAAUACAAUAGAAAAUUCAAAGCAAACAGUGUGAAGAAACUAACUCAAAGCACAAAUGAGAGAACAGAACGGUAGUAGAAGAAACAUGUUUUAGAAAAACCUUAUAGAAAAGACUUAAACAUGGUUAGUAGUAGAGAAAACAAUAACACUUAAGAACACAAUAGAAAAUAUAGCAGAAAAAGUACUUUUCAGAAGGAACUUAGCCAAGGUUCAAAAGAGAAAAAAGAUAGUAUAACACUUAAGAAAAUAGUAGUGGAAAUACGUUUGAAGAGGUCUUUUAGAAUAACUCAAACAAAGUACAGUAGAAUGCAAACAAAACUUAAGAACUCGGUAGGAAAUACAUACAAUAUAAGAACACAAAAUACCGAAAAAGUAUAGCAAAAGAACAUAUAGGAAAACACUACAAGAUAAACAUGUGAGCAUGGUAUAAAAAUCACAGUAGAAAAACAAAGUGCCGAAGAACAUGUAUAGUAAAAAGAAAGCAGUGGAAUAACAUGUAUGGCAAAUACACACAAAGAAAGGAAAAGAAAAGUUGGAGAAACACUUUGAACCAUUCAGAAAACCCUAAAUCGAAGAGAAGUAAUUUUAAAAUAUAAUUUUUGAAAAAAAUUGGGAAAUUGUUUAAAACCUCAAGUAGAGCACAGAUGUGUGACAGGUCUAAGAAAAAAUUGGAGAAAACCUCGAGUAGUUAGGGUUUCAAAAGAAUCCUAGAAUGAGAAAGGCUUGGAAAAGGUCUGAUUUGAGUCGGAUAAGUCAAAACCAAGCUCAAAAUACCAUUGUAUGCCAGGGCUGGGCCGGAGAUGGCCAUAGAACCUUGAAUCCGCGAAGAUCUGAACAGACACCAUCGAGGUCAGACUUCGAACCUUCGAAUACCAAGUGUUUAAGAGAAUAGGGAGAUGAGUUUAAGCCAUCCAUGGCCUGAGUGUCCAUGGAUUCCGGUGAGAUUGAGGUUGAAGAUGGUGAGAGAGGCUAGGGUUUCGAGAGAGUUUGAG